CAGCACCUCAAGUGGUCAGGAUGAUUAUUGGGCCUACAGCAUCCGUAGCCGGCGCUGUAAGUUUUCGGUUAAAUCUGUACGCUCAACGUACAGGCUGCCGGGAAUACUGCAGCGCUAGGGAGUGGGAGAGGUAGACGGUACUCGGUAGGAAGGGGUAAAAUCCUUUGAUCUAUUGAUGACCACCUGUGGCGAAGGCGGUCUACCAGAACACGUCCGACGGUGAGGGAUGAAAGCUGGGGGAGCAAACCGGAUUAGAUACCCGAGUAGUCC
rnacentral:rRNA from 1 species